AGUGGCGCACGGGUGAGUAGCGCGUGGGUAACCUACCCUGAAGUUGGGAAUAACACCUCGAAAGGGGUGCUAAUACCGAAUGAUGUCCCUCCUGACAAAGAUGCGCUUUAGGAUGAGCCCGCGUACCAUUAGCUAGUUGGUGGGGUAAUGGCCCACCAAGGCCAUGAUGGUUAGCUGGUCUGAGAGGAUGGCCAGCCACACUGGAACUGAGAUACGGUCCAGACUCCUACGGGAGGCAGCAGUGAGGAAUCUUGCGCAAUGGGGGAAACCCUGACGCAGCAACGCCGCGUGAGUGAUGAAGGCCUUCGGGUCGUAAAGCUCUGUCAGAUGGGAAGAAUGACGGUACCGUCAGAGGAAGCACCGGCUAACUCCGUGCCAGCAGCCGCGGUAAUACGGAGGGUGCAAGCGUUGUUCGGAAUCAUUGGGCGUAAAGAGCGUGUAGGCGGUCGGGUAAGUCAGAUGUGAAAUCCCUUGGCUUAACCAAGGAAGGGCAUUUGAAAC
rnacentral:rRNA from 1 species